AGCCAUGCCGCGUGCAGGAAGACUGCCCUAUGGGUUGUAAACUGCUUUUUUACGGGAAGAAUAAUGCCCACGUGUGGGCAGAUGACGGUACCGUAAGAAUAAGGACCGGCUAACUCCGUGCCAGCAGCCGCGGUAAUAAUCGAAUUCCCGCGGCC
rnacentral:rRNA from 1 species